UUCAGACACGGAAUCGAUUUGAAGGAACAAGGUCAGAAGUAGAAGAGCUUAUGAACAAAAUCAGACAGAAUCCUAAGGACCACAAACGAGCAAGUCAGUUUACAGCAGAAGGCUACCUGUAUGUACAGGAAAAAAGGCCUGCUCCAUUUGGUUCCAGUUGGGUCAAACACUACUGCAUGUAUCGGAAAGCAGCCAAGAAGUUCAACAUGAUCCCAUUUGAGCACAGAUCUGGGGGGAAACUUGGGGAUGGAGAAGUAUUCUUUUUAAAAGAAUGUACCAAAAGGCAUACUGACUCCACUGACAGAAGGUUUUGUUUCGACAUAGAAGCUGCUGACCGGCCUGGUAUUUCCUUGACCAUGCAGGCGUUUUCAGAAGAGGAAAGGAAACAGUGGUUGGAAGCUCUGGGUGGAAAAGAAGCUCUGUUUCAUAGUUUUAAUAGAGCCAUCAUUCCAAGACCAGAAGGAAGUGCACAGUUGGAUAAGAUGGGAUUCACAAUUCUCAGAAAAUGUAUCAAUGCAGUUGAAACACGAGGUAUAAAUGACCAAGGAUUGUACAGAGUUGUGGGGGUGAGUUCAAAGGUCCAGAGACUUCUGAGUAUGUUGAUGGAUGUAAAUACAUGUAAUGAGGUGGACCUGGAGAAUUCUGUAGAUUGGGAAGUGAAGACAAUAACCAGUGCCCUGAAACAGUAUUUGAGGAGUCUUCCGGAGCCUCUCAUGACCUAUGAGUUACAUGGAGAUUUCAUUGUUCCAGCCAAAAGUGGCAGCCCAGAAUCUCGUGUUAAUGCUAUCCAUUUCUUGGUACACAAACUGCCAGAGAAGAAUAAAGAAAUGUUGGAUAUUUUGGUGAAACACUUAACAAAUGUUUCAGAUCACUCCAAGCAGAACCUAAUGACCGUGGCCAAUUUAGGAGUGGUGUUUGGACCAACUCUGAUGAGGCCACAGGAAGAAACUGUUGCUGCCAUCAUGGAUUUGAAGUUUCAGAAUAUUGUUGUGGAAAUCUUAAUUGAAAACCAUGAAAAGAUUUUUCGAACUCCGCCUGAUACCACAUUCUUUGAGCCCAGCUGCCUGUCAGCAUCGCCCCCAAAUGCUCCACCAAGGCAAUCGAAGAGACAAGGCCAGAGGACAAAGAGGCCCGUGGCGGUAUAUAAUCUUUGUCUCGAGCUGGAAGACGGUGACAGUCCUAAUCCUCCUAAGGAGGACACCCCAACCAGCAGUCUGGACUCACUUUCCUCCCCAUCUCCCACGACUGCAGCUGUCCAUGGGCCUCCUGGACCAGACAGAAACCACCUUCUUACAGAUGGAGGGAACUGUGGCGACUGGACACCCACUGGCCCAAGCCAGACCCGAUCAUCUAUGGUCCAGUGGCUUAACCCACAGUCUCCAAUCACACCAAGCUGCAACCCAGCUGUUACACCUCCUUCACCCCAGUUGUCACCUUUCCCCCUCUCUUCUGCCACCGUAGCAGACAAGCCGCCUGAAAGCAUCAUCAAUCGGAAGGCUCGAGCAGUGUAUCCGUGUGAAGCAGAACACAGCUCAGAAUUAUCUUUUGACAUAGGAGCAAUUUUUGAAGAUGUGCAAACCUCGAGGGAACCUGGCUGGCUAGAGGGGACUCUGAAUGGCAAGAGGGGACUGAUUCCACAGAAUUACGUCAAGCUGCUAUAGCUCCCGGCCUGCAGGGGCCCCAUGCUGACCCUGCCACCCAAGGACCUUCCUGCGAGUUGCACCCAUGACCUAUCUCCACACUCGGAAUUACAGAUCACAAUUGGCACUCCAGGGCUGGGGGGAGGGGGAUGGGGCAUGCCACACAGAACUGUAUAGAUUUGUGGAUCAGAAGAAUGUCGGGAUUAAUAGAAUGGACUUUUCCUUUGUCAAGCAUCAGGACUUGUGAUUUUUAAUUAUCCAGCCUAUAGAAGGAGAGGAGGGCAGCCUUCUGCCACCCCAGCAGCCCCCACCCCCUACAGUCACCCCACCAGACCCAUGAAGAAUCCCAUUCCUCCCCGUGUACCUGCUGCUGAGAUUUUAAAGGGAACUGCUCCUCUUCACAGUGUUUUGUUUGCAGGGCGCGUGCUUGGCUCUGGUCGCCGUGGUGUGGAGCGGGCUGCUGCUGGGGCCGGGGGAAUUGGUCUCAACCCAGAGCGAAGCAGAAAGAUGCUCUUUUCAAGCCUGCUCCUACCUACAAGGCCACCCUGGGGACCCCACACUCACUCUACCUGGAGGACAGAGCAUCCUGGCGUUUUUAUAACAGGCUUCUUGCUGGUGCUCUUCACCUGUGUGCUGUUUUCCAACCACCUGAGACUCCCCAUGGUCUCUGUACAUGAAAUAAAACGUAAUUUACUAUUUGA